AUAAGCAAAUGCUGAUGCUAAAAGAGGCAGUGCCAACUUCCCACUGACCCAAUCACUGUUUUCACUCUCCUUGCUUUGCCAGUGACUGCAAAUAGCCAUAAAUACAUAUGGGAGGAAAAAAAAAAAAAAAAAAAAAAAAAGAGGCUAGUUUUAACCCAGAGCGUUGCCCUGUUCCCACUCACCAUGUGGCUGCACGAACAUCUGGCAGAAGGGAGAGAGAUGCAAAUGGCAAUAAUCAGGCAGAGGACUGGAAGCUGAUGACCAUGACCCUAGAAAAAGUCUAGAGAAAACAACCUCAUUACGAGACAUACCUUGCAAUAGAUGUUUGUUUAACUUGAAAUCCGCAAGAGCAGCUGCCCAGUGCAACAGUACAUAUUUGCUUCUGAAUCCUUUCUCAAAGGCACUAUUUAAACAUGUUGAUGAACUGAGCUGGAUUUCUCCCCACUUCCAUUCCAGCAAAACAAGGAGACUCAGAAGAUAAAAUUUGUGUUGUUAUUGCAAGUAGUGCUAUGUGCCUUUCUUCUGCCAAUGUCUGGAUGGGAAUCCCUUCAGCCUGUCAACACCUAACUUUAAUUAGCUGAAGAAAUUUCUCAAAGUGCUCCUCUCGUGGAGCUGUUUCUGCAACCAUUCUAGCUCCAAAAAAACCGUGGAAUCAGGAGUGACAAAAGGCAGGUCAUCAACGGACCAUGGCUGAGGUGGUGUCACAUGUCUUCUCCUCCACCAUUGGCCAACGAGGCCUUCAAAACUUCAGCAGAAUAAAUCACAUGAAGAAUGCAGCCACCUGAACAAAACAAUAAAUGAAUGAAAUCCAUGUUCUUGUGACUAAUAAGGAGAGAAAAGAAGAUGUUACUGCAAAAUAUUCGGGUAUCUUCAAUAUAUGAAAUUUUUCUGAAAUGCUGAAAUCCAGCAGAGCAGAAGAAAUUAUAAGAUCCAACAGUUAUUGUUCCGAUAUAUUCUAGAUUGAUAUCCUUCCAUUCAGUAUUCUGAAUUAUUGUUGGAAAUAUUAUACAUCUCAGGUAUGAAGAGUGAAAAAUCCUGAGCUAUAUGAAAACAAAUUAAUAUGCUGAAAUGUCAACUGAGAAUUAUGAAAGUGCCUGUGUUUUUGUCAGAAAAAGAAUGAAAUCAAGCAACUAUUGUAGUGCUCAGAAACACCUCCAAUAGCAUACACCCAAAUAAAGAAACAUCAGAAAAAUUAAUACAGUCAUUAAAAUGCAAAAAUUCUAUCUUCCAUAAUAAUUAAUAGUAUGAGUCCUAGUAAGCAGUAUAACCUACUUUUUGUAGUAUCUUCAAAACAUAUGGAUGUGCUUUAAAGAGAUCAGGAUCUUCCUAAGCAGAGAAGACAUGAAAAGAUUCUGCCGCACUGUUUCAGGCCACAGGUGACACAUCUACUGCCUUCCCUGCCUUUAAAUGUUAGAGAGGCUCCAGUCAACCGACAGGAUUUGGGUACAGACCUUUCAAAGGGUAUUCUUACACUAUAAACACAAUAUACCUCACCAAACAUAUGAUCACAUGAAUGUAUUCAGUGUUGUUCAGCACAUUCAUUCACUAAAGCUCUAAACUUGCUUAAUUAAUGAUAUACCUUACAGGUCUUCUUCAGCCUUAAGCUGGUCAAUCUGGGGGUCUGUCUUAUUGUUCUUAUAGGUUUUCAUAGCAAUUUUGCUGAAUGAACUGAUUUAAAAAUGUGUAUAUAGACCCUAAAGACUUGUCCAAAAUACAGAAGUUUAUGUUUAGAAUGAUUGUGGAAAUCUAAGGUAGUGGGAUGCUGAGUACAAAAGAUCAAUUAGCGCAGACCAGAGCAAUAUCAUGUGCACCAUUUUUGCAUUCAUUGUUCAGGACAAGUGAGGUUUUGCAUAUUUUGUAGCAGAAAUAAUCAGCAACUUUUAGAAUAAAAAUAAAUAUGUGUUGACCAUCCCUA